CCCAUGCCUUUGCCCGCAUGCUCCACUUCUCUGGGUGCCUGCAACAGCCCCCUCGCUGGCCUCCAGCCCGCCAAUCCUACCCAGGGGAGCCAGAGACACCGUGCUCAAAGGGACCAAACCUCUGCUAGCUUAGAACUGCCCCCAGGAUGAUGUCAAGCCUGGGGUGGAUGCACACGGUCCUUCUCGGUAGCCGGCGCUGCCUGGGUGUCCGGCUUGGUUCUGCCAUGCUAUUUCAAGCCUCCAUGCUUGCUCAUGCCUUUCCCUCAGCCUGAACACCCAGGGCACCUACUCCCCCACCCUCUAGUAUUACUCAUUCUUCAAUAGCUCCUUUUCUUCUUCUUCUUCUUUUUCUUCUGGAAAUACUCACUCAGCUCCUACACCUACUCUCUGGGCCGAGGGCGCUUCCUCUUUGUGCUCCACAGCGCCCUGCCUGGUUCUGCCUUCGUAUUGUUUUGACCCGAUCACACGGCUGUUGUUAUAAGCACUUUAAGGCAUGUGAUGCUGAAGGACUCUAUUAGUAACUGCCCCCACCCCCGACCCUACACACAGUGCCCUGCACUCAGAACCUCCCACCUGCAGACAACUUGCAAGCUUUUUGGGCGCAACACAAUUGAGAGGAGAACUCUUGACUACCUUAAAACAGCCCCCAUUUCAGUUGGAGAAAGGAUGAAGUUAUUUCCUUACAACUAAAUAUAGACAUUCCACAGACUAAGUUCUUUUCUGCCCAAGGGCGGAAACCAAUUCAAUGCAAGUCACAGCGCUUCCUUCACUGUACUAGCGAAAGCUGUCCCAUAUCACCUCCCUCGCGGUUGAGCAGGACACUGCCUGGCAUCAGCCUGAGGCACCCGCCACAGCCAGGCAACAUGGCAAAGGCCCCUGGAGU